rnacentral:rRNA from 1 species
CAGCAGCAGCCGCGGGAAUACGUAGGUGGCAAGCGUUGUCCGGAAUUAUUGGGCGUAAAGGGCUCGCAGGCGGUUUCUUAAGUCUGAUGUGAAAGCCCCCGGCUCAACCGGGGAGGGUCAUUGGAAACUGGGAAACUUGAGUGCAGAAGAGGAGAGUGGAAUUCCACGUGUAGCGGUGAAAUGCGUAGAGAUGUGGAGGAACACCAGUGGCGAAGGCGACUCUCUGGUCUGUAACUGACGCUGAGGAGCGAAAGCGUGGGGAGCGAACAGGAUUAGAUACCCCCGUAGUCCCUGUCUCUUAUAC